rnacentral:tRNA from 1 species
CAAAAAAUAGCUUAAAUUUAAAGCAAUUUAUUUACAUUAAAAUGAUGCCUUGUGUUUUUUUGA